GGCAUCAGGACACAUAUCUACAGGAAGGGUGGAAAAUAGAACAAGAAGAGAGGGUUAUAUACUUUAAAAGUGCUGCCAGUUUUCCACUCAGCUACUUGUUUAAAAACACAAAACAGGCAGUCGAAGGUGAAAAUGGAUUUUAAAUUAAUCUACUCCAAAGAAAAAAUGAAAAAAACAGAGCCUCUUGUGCAGUGCUGUGUCUCUGUCAGUUAGGUAAAUCAGACGGUGCAGUUGGUGCAGUCAGUCUACCUCCUCUGUAGGCUUCUCGACCUGCGUGCCCUCCCCUGCCUCAUCGAGAACAGGAACCAGGUAUCUGUUGCUGUCAUUUCUGAGAGACUGCAAUACAGAGAUGCUUGACUACAGGAUCAUUCUCAUCGUCGCGAUCCUCACCAUCUUUCAUUCAACAAUUUCUGAGUACCACGUUCAUGCGAAGAACGGCCCACACUGCAAAUCAAAUGUCAAAGACAUGCUCCUGGCUAUACAGAGAGUAACUGCAAACGACAACACUGCUUCAGUCCACUGCCCAACACUGAAAGAUGAUGAGGAGAACGUUCACAUCAGUCUAUACAGAAACACAUGUGAACUGCACUCGACUGAUUUCAGAAGGACUCAACCAUCGAACAACUCAGAUCUCCAGCACAGGCUUCAUUUAUCCAUUGAGAAGAAUACAGUCUAUUAUCUGAUAAGCCUGCCUCAAGUCAAUGACACAAGCCUGUACUGUUGUGAAGUCCAGCAUGGCACCACUGACAGCAGAACAGCCUGCACUUUGCUACUUGUUAAAGAUGCAGUUCCUUUCUGUUCUUAUGAGGGAGGACCAGUGUACUGGCUGAUGCUAACUGUAGGCUGUGGGCUAUUUGCUUUGUACGGCCUUAUUGUCACUGUUGUCACCUGUUCCUUUUGUGUGAGUCCCUCUACACACACAAACACGCACACACACACACACACACACACACAGUGUUUUGUCAACACAAGUGUUAAUGUAUAUUUAUGUGUGUACUGUUCAUCAUUUUUCAACACACAAUACAAACUGUAUUUCACUGUAUAUGACAAGCUUCCCACAUAUGAGGGGUGGACAACUGUUAACUUGUUGUGUCAGAGUGGCUGUUUUCUACAAAAGUUCAAAACUGGUGUUUCUUUUUCUAAACCAGCGGAAACUCAAGAACGAAGAGGAAGAUCAGAAUGAUUAUUGCAACACAAAACCAGGAGAAUUCAAAAGAGCCAAAUGAAUUCAGUCUAGCUUCAACAGCAAAUUACUGCCCACCUGUGCAUCUACAACUGAAUAUAUGACCAGUACAAUGUACCCAUUAAAGAGCAGCAAUCUGCAAUCAUGUGUUACAAAGACAACCAACCACUGAUCCAUAACUAGAACAUAUACAGUCAACUGUAUGUCUGAUUCAGUUCAUUCAAUAGGUUUAAUAACUCUCAUUAUAUUCUGCAUUUUUAUUACGUCUUGUAAAUAUUUGUUGUCUUUGAAUACUGUGACAUCUUCCAUCUACUAAUGUAACAAUACUCUAACAUAUACAACAUCUAUGCAGACUGUGGACCUGUUGUUUAAGACAAUGUAAAAAUUGUGCUCUACAGUAUUUUUUGACUUUUAGACUCAUUAUUUAGAUCUUUGUUUUAGCAUAAUGAAAACUUUGUGCCAAUCAGUAUUAACUUUGUGCAUCAUCAUUAUUGGAAUCCAAAUAAAUGUAAUUCAGGUGUACCGCUCGCUGUUGUCUCAUCUUUUCUUAGUUAUAACAUUAAAACAACUUUCUGAAGAAUAGAAUCA
ensembl:lncRNA